AAAUUGAAGAGUUUGAUCAUGGCUCAGAUUGAACGCUGGCGGCAGGCCUAACACAUGCAAGUCGAACGGUAACAGGAAGCAGCUUGCUGCUUCGCUGACGAGUGGCGGACGGGUGAGUAAUGUCUGGGAAACUGCCUGAUGGAGGGGGAUAACUACUGGAAACGGUAGCUAAUACCGCAUAACGUCGCAAGACCAAAGAGGGGGACCUUCGGGCCUCUUGCCAUCGGAUGUGCCCAGAUGGGAUUAGCUAGUAGGUGGGGUAACGGCUCACCUAGGCGACGAUCCCUAGCUGGUCUGAGAGGAUGACCAGCCACACUGGAACUGAGACACGGUC
rnacentral:rRNA from 1 species